ACCCGGGAAGCCGAAAACGGGAUAUAGAGUAGGCA
rnacentral:ncRNA from 1 species